AACCAUCGCAUCAGAGCGAUGACUCCACCAUUUCCAUUGAAGUAUUUAGGUUUGCAGUUCAUGAAGUCUUUAUACGAACAUUCUCUUGGGUGUUUGUGGGUAUUUUCGUGGUUGGUUAGGUGAGCACCGGUACCAGAUCCACUAACACUACUUGUGUUGGGUUUUGAGCAAUCUAACACUUCCUAAGUGUGCAUGCAACCCUAAUAAACCUUGGAUCUAUGUUUGUCUAAAUACAUGCAAAAUAAUAAUUUUCCAAGGUUUAUAACCUAUCUAACAUGGCAUGGGGAACAUUUCAACAUAAAAGAGUUAGAAGAGAUUACAUACCUUUUUGAUGAGUUUGGUUCUUGAGGAGUUUGAGGGCCAAGCACCAAUAGUGUGAAUGCCUCAAAUGGAAUCACAAAACACCACAAACUCUUGGAAAACUUUGAGAGAGUAUACACACUUGUAUAUUUCGGCCACACACAAGGCCACACACACACACACACACACUAGUUCACUAGUUGCCAUUUCAUGCACCAUAAGCAUGCUUAUAUAGUGUACAUGGUUAGGGUGAAACCCUAAUAACCCAUGACCUUUCCUUUUCCAAGGAUCCAUGGGUUAAAAGCUCCAUGGAUCAUCCAUGGACUUCCAUCCAAGCCUAGCCCAUUAACGAAUGAGUGUUAGCCCACACCAUAUAAAACCAAUAUCCCAUAAUCUAAUUAGUCUUCCUUUUAAUCUCUAAAUUAAUUCAUAAUUAAUUUAAGACUAAUACUAAUUAAAUAACAUAACUUCAUAUUAAUAUAUUAUAACUUAUAAUAUAUUAAUAAACAUAUGUGUAUAACUCUCAUAAAAUUAUCCAUAAAUAGUUUGGAUGAGAUGCAACCCAAAUGGACCAUGCCGGUCGGGUCAAGUAUAUACCAAAUAAGUUAUGGACUUAGACACCUUAUCCAACAGACUCCCACUUGGAUAAGUCUAAUAACUAUAUUUGCCUAUAACUUCAGGAACCAACCAACAAUCGUAGCUCUCGAAAACUCCCUCGAACAAUGAAGACUCUGUCGAACUAUGAAGCGCCAUUUUAGAUAAGUGAUCACAUAAUCCUCUGUUCUCAUGAUAUCAGCCGGACAAACACAUGGAACUAUGUCUUGCUUAUUGUCUAGCAGUUGUUUCUCGAUUAUCCGAUUUGUUUGACGAAGAACUUCACUGAACACAUCGGUUUAGUUCUGACCAGGCCUGGUAUAUGGGUCAACACAAAAUCAUCGAGGGGCCCGGAUAUCGCUUCUAUUUCUAGAAGGAACAGAUAAACUUCGACUGAUAUGCUUGUUCUACUACUUAUUGAAUUGUACACAAAGGCACGUUUUAUAACAUCAAGUUACUGAUGCGUUUACGUGCAAUCAAUGCACAACCAACUCAUAGGUAACAACUCAUAUCUCUAGGUUUAAAGAUUUAUAUGAUGUUAUCGUCUCACGAUCACUCGAGAUAAAUUCCAUGAAGUGAUACAAGUGAGCGUGGGUUUAUACCAAUACUCAUAACUUAUGAGUACUCAUGAAUGUUGCAGCAACCAUUGCCAUGCCUAAACACCUUUAAGGCAUCUACAAACCCAAUUCAUGACAAUCUUGAUUCAUACCUACUUCCGACGUAUGAUCGAUUGUGGAGGUUUGAACAAAUUAAUUAUUCUGGAAGUCAAAACAUGCAAAACUGAAACAAUAGUAAAUAAUUGACAAUGAUAGUAACACUUUACUCAUAAAUAAAUCACAAAUUUUAUUCAUCAUCAAACGUCGAUUACAUUUUACAAGUUUCAGGAAAACUAUCUAAUCUGUAAAACUAAUAUCGUCCCUCAGCCCGAUGCGUCUCGCAUGCUGAAAAUGCUUAACCCUCGUCAGUCCCUUCGUAAGGGGAUCUGCAGGAUUCUCAUCUGACGAUAUCCUCCUUGUCACAAGGAGUCCUUCUUCAAUCUUGUGCCUUAUGAAGUGAUAUUUUCUGUCAAUGUGUCGGGAUCUGCCAUGAUCUCUUGGUUCCUUGGCUAAGAUAACCGCAGCAUUGUUGUCACAGAAAAUCUCUAUAGGUUCCUUAAUAGCUGGUACAACUCCAAGGUCUCCGAUGAAGUUCUUUAGCCAUAUCGCCUCCUUCGCUGCUUCACUCGCUGCUAUAUACUCUGAUUCACAAGUCGAAUCAGCCACCGUCUCCUGCUUGGAACUCUUCCAAGAAAUUGCCCCUCCAUUUAAGGUAAAGAUCCAGCCCGACUGAGAGCGGAAAUUAUCCCUAUCAGUCUGAAAACCAGCAUCACUAUACCCUAAUAUUCUCAAGUCAUCACUGCCACCAAGGGUAAGGACCCAAUCCUUAGUCCUCCGCAGGUACUUGAGAAUGUUCUUUACCGCGGUCCAAUGAGCCUUGCCAGGGUUCCCCUGAUACCUGCUGACCAUGCUCAAAGCAAAUGCCACAUCAGGACGGGUACAAGUCAUAGCAUACAUGAUCGAGCCAACUGCGGAAGCAUAUGGUAAUUGGCUCAUCUCAGCUAUCUCAGCCUCUGUACUCGGACUCUGAGUCUUACUCAGUUUGGUAUUGCUUUGGAUCGGUAAAUCUCCUUUCUUGGAAUUCUCCAUGUUGAACCUUUUCAACACCUUAUCCAAGUAGAUACUCUGACUAAGUCCAAUUAGUCUUCUACUCCUUUCUCUUAAUAUCCUUAUCCCUAGGAUAUAGGUAGCCUCCCCUAGGUCCUUCAUAGCAAAGCACUUCCCAAGCCAGGACUUAACCUCCUGCAAGGUUGGGAUGUCAUUUCCUAUGAGUAGUAUGUCAUCCACAUACAGUACCAAGAAGCUAACUAUACUCCCACUAGCUCUGACAUACACGCAAGACUCAUCUUCGCUUCUCAAGAAGCCAAACUCUUUUACCUUCUCAUCAAAACAAAGAUUCCAGCUACGAGAUGCUUGUUUUAAUCCAUAAAUGGAUUUCUUAAGCUUGCAUACUCUAUUAGGGUACUCUGCAUUGACAAAACCCUCUGGCUGAUUCAUGUACACAUCCUCAGCCAACUUUCCAUUAAGGAAAGCGGUUUUGACAUCCAUUUGCCAUAUUUCAUAAUCAUGAAAUGCUGCAAUGGCUAACAUAACCCUAAUAGACUUAAUCUUGGCCACCGGCGAGAAGGUUUCAUCAUAAUCAAUACCUUGAGUUUGAGUAAAACCCUUCGCAACCAGUCGAGCCUUAUAAGUAUGCACUUUUCCUUCCAUGUCGGUCUUCUUUUUGAAGAUCCAUUUGCACCCGACUGUUUUACGGCCUGGUACAUUGUCAACCAAGUUCCAAACUUGAUUGUCAUACAUGGACUGUAUCUCGCUGUCCAUAGCCUCCUUCCAUUUAGCAGACUCCGGGCCUGCCAUGGCUUCCUUAACACUGCUAGGUUCAUCCAAAUUUACUAGUGUACUAUCACUAAUAAACGUAUCACCUUCCGUAGUAAUAUGAAAACCAUAAUAAAACGAAGGUGUGUUCCUAACCCGUGUGGAACGUCUCGGAGGUACAGACUCGUCAGCUGGAUCAACAGGAGUUUCUUCCUCAGGUUGAUUGCUAGUGUCUGAGGUUCCUUCACCAAUUGAUUCUUGAAUUUCUUCAAGAUCAAUCUGCCUCCCACUGUCUCCUUGGCUUAUAAAUUCUUUCUCGCGAAAGAUCCCUCUUCGUGCUACAAAGACCACAUUCUCACUGGGUCUGUAGAAAAGGUAACCGAAGGAUUUCUGUGGGUAGCCGAUGAAAAUACACCUUUCACUUCGGGGUUCAAGCUUAUCAUGAGUUUCACGCCUCACGAAGGCUUCGCAACCCCAAAUUUUGAUGUGGUCCAAAUUGGGAACCUUCCCAGUCCACAUUUCAUGAGGUGUUUUGGUAACCUUCUUUGUAGGGACUAGAUUAAGGAUAUGGGCGGCAGUCUCUAAGGCAUACCCCCAAAAAGAGAUUGGUAACGAAACUCGACUCAUCAUAGAGCGAACCAUGUCCAACAAGGUACGAUUACGCCUCUCAGCUACACCAUUCAGCUGUGGUGUCCUGGGAGGAGUCAAUUGUGAGACAAUCCCACACUCCUUAAGAUAGUCAAGGAACUCGGUACUAAGAUACUCACCACCUCGAUCGGAUCGAAGCAUCUUAAUGUUCCUGCCCAAUUGAUUUUCUACUUCCUGUUUGAAUUCCUUAAACCUUUCAAAGGUUUCGGACUUGUGUUUGAUCAAGUAGACAUACCCAUAUCUACUAUAAUCAUCAAUAAAAGUCACAUAAUACCGAUUAGCGUCCCUUGUGGCGGUUUUGAAUGGCCCACAUACAUCAGUAUGUAUUAGGUCCAACAAACCUUCACCCCUCUCACAAGUUCCAGUGAAGGGUGAUUUUGUCAUUUUUCCAAGUAGACAAGAUUCACAACUAUCAUCUGAUUUGAGGUCAAAUGAUUCCAAGACUCCACUCUUUUGGAGUUGGUCUAUGCGUUUCUUGUUUACAUGUCCAAGACGACAAUGCCACAAUGAUGCUUUAUCUAGGCUAGUAGAAGAAUCAAUAUACAACACAUUAUUUCCUAAGUUGUCUACAAUCGACACAGUUUCAUACACGCCAUCACAAGGUAAUGCUUUAAAAUAAAACACAUUAUUAAAGAAAGCAUUAAUACCACCACAUUCAUUAUCAAACGAAAAGGUAAAACCUUGUUUGUACAAAGCAUGAAAAGAAAUAAUAUUCCUCGCCAUUUCAGACGAGUAUACACAUUUAUUCAAAUCUAAUUUUAACCCAUUAUUAAGCAACAAAGUAUAAACUCCAAUCUUGGAAACAGGUGAAGCCUUCCUAUUCCCCAUGAUUAAGUUUAUCUUCCCGUGCUCCACAUCCUCACUUCUUCUUAGGCCCUGCAAAUCAGAACAUAUGUGAAUACCACAUCCUGUAUCAAGCACCCAAGAGUUAGAAUAUGUUGAGUAAUUAGACAAUAUAGUGUAAAUACCUGCAUAGGUGGGUUUCACUUUCCCAUCCUUUAGAUCCUGCAAGUACUUAGGGCAGUUUCGCUUCCAGUGUGCCUUUUCAUGGCAAUAAAAGCAUUCAGCAUCCUUUGGAAUGGCAGAAGGAGUGACAGAACCGUUCUUAGUCUUGGAUGAGGAGCCUUCAAGAGACUUUCCCUUGGUACCCUUCGAAGGGUGCUUCCUCUUUUUCCCUUUGCCUUGCCCAAUAGCUAAAACAGGGGUAGAAGUUGGAGUAGGAGUAGUAGAGGUAACAACCGCUUUACCCUUAAGACCGGUUUCAGCGGUCUUCAAGAGUCCUUGAAGCUUGCUGAGGGUAACUUCCUCCUUGUUCAUAUGAUAUGUCAUUCGAAAAUGAUCAUAACAAGAAGGCAAGGAGUGCAAAAUGAUGUCAAUUGCUAACUCCUCGGGGAUGUUAACAUUCAGCUUCAGCAAACGGUCCACAUACCUUUGCAUCUUUUGCAUGUGGCCCGUGACGGAUUCACCGUCCUUCAUGCGGGUAGUUAUUAUGGAGGAGAUUAUUUCAUACCGCUCCUGACGAGCACUCUGAUGGUACCUUUCCAUCAAGUCUUGGUGCAUCUCAAAAGGGUAGAAAUCUUCAUAUGACUUUUGGAGCUCGGCUGUCAUCGUGGCCAUCAUGAUACAUGCCACCUUAGUAGCAUCUCUCUCAUGAGUCCUGAAUUCAGCGAUCUCCUCAGGAGUAGCAGUAGACUCAUCAAGUUCUUUUAACUCCUUAUCGAGGACAUAUUCCUUGUCCUCGUAACGAGUAACCAUCCUGAUGUUCCUAAUCCAAUCCAUGAAGUUGGAACCAUCAAAGAUGACCCUCCCACAAAGAUUCAUGAGAGAGAAAGAACCAGUUGGGUUAGAGCCUGAAGCAUUAGUGUUGGAAGACAUCUGAAAGAAGAAAGUAAGUUUAGAUUAGAUAUUUAGGAUCCUUAAUAAGACACCCAAAUGUAAUAUUAAGGCUAGGAUCCAAUCACAAUAUAUUACACUUAGAAGAGGGAUGCCGUAAUCUAAGUAAUAAUAUAUUUGAAAGGUAGGCGAAUGACGAUUCACCAAUUUCCACCAUGAAAACGAAAUGAUUAAUUAGGUUUAAUUGGAUUUGAAAUUCCUAGAUUCUUUUGAGAUUCAUUGAACUUUUCAAUGGCAUGUUUCAAUCUCGAUUGUGCCCUUCAAGUUUUGUGACUGGGAUGCCGAGGAUCACAAAACAAGGUGUGAAUAACCAUGCUAACUCACUUGGUACUCCUAAUAUUAUCACCUAAUCAAUGUGCCGGUUAACCACACACGCUCCAUUGAUCUAUGACAACAUUAAGUUACCCUUCGUGAUCCUUACUAGUCUAAUUAGUGUGCCGGUUAACCACACACGCUCCACUAACGACUUGGUAAGGUACAAAGUGUGAAUUCCAUGGAUUAGCACCAUGUUCACAUUUUCCUAAAAUAACUAAGAUUGGGAAUUAAAAGAGUUUAGUUAUUUUAUAAUAUUCAUUAUACUUUUAAUGAGGAUUUAAAGUCGUUGUUCUACCCGUUCGGCUAACGACCCUCCACCGAUCAAGCAAGCGGUGGGUGAGAGUAUACACCCAUUAAGUCGCCAUUUUAUAGGCAACAACCUUAUACCCACCUUAUAGACCGGCUUCGUGAAUGAGGCCUACUAACGGUAAAACGACUUAUUCUUAUACAUAUAUAUAAUAAUUAACCAUUAAUGUUAUAAAUAGUAUAAGGGUUGAAUUUUAACUAUUAAAACUCUAAGGUUUGGAAUUAAAGUUUAUUAAAGUGUGUGAAACUUUACAAAUUCCAAAACUUGAGGACAAGUUUUGUAACUUUGCAAAACUCUUCAUUUCAUAACUUAUGAAUUAAAGGUUCAUAAAAAUGAAGACUCUUCAUUUUCAUGUAACUUAUGUGUUUUAAGUGUGUGUUAAAUGAAAGUGACCUUUGGUAAUCCAUAACUUGAGGACAAAUUAUGGACUCCAUUAAAACACAUAAAUGAUUAAGAAUUAAUUCUAAACAAUUCAGCAAAUAAUUCCUAUCAUUUUCUAAAUUCAUAAGAACAUGAACAUGAUCAUCAAAAAUUCAAGAAUUAUAUGAACACAUAAAAUCAUGGAUUUUUGAUAUAUGCUAUUGUAAAUGGAUUAGAACAACCAUUACACCAACUAAAAUAAGUUUUACAACACCAAAACAAUUUAGGGUAAUGUUUCCAGUCCAUUUCCAGCAGCAAAAGUCGAGAUUCUGCAUUCUUUCGAUCCUACUCGCCGAGUGCACGAACGGACUCGUCGAGUAGGUUGAAGUUUGCCUUGGACUCGGCGAGUCCCCCCAAUGGACUCGGCGAGUCUAUCAUGCAGACAGCAACGAUUUCGACUUUUUUCACUAUUUUGCAUCAAGUAUCAAACAAGCAAGCCUAGGCUCUGAUACCACUGUUGGGUUUUGAGCAAUCUAACACUUCCUAAGUGUGCAUGCAACCCUAAUAAACCUUGGAUCUAUGUUUGUCUAAAUACAUGCAAAAUAAUAAUUUUUCCAAGGUUUAUAACCUAUCUAACAUGGCAUGGGGAACAUUUCAACAUAAAAAGUUAGAAGAGAUUACAUACCUUUUGAUGAGUUUGGUUCUUGAGGAGUUUGAGGGCCAAGCACCAAUAGUGUGAAUGCCUCAAAUGGAAUCACAAAACACCACAAACUCUUGGAAAACUUUGAGAGAGUAUACAC
rnacentral:lncRNA from 1 species